rnacentral:piRNA from 1 species
CCCGAUGAGCCAGUGGAGUUGC